rnacentral:rRNA from 1 species
CAGUAGCCGCGGGAAAACGUAGGUGGCAAGCGUUGUCCGGAAUUAUUGGGCGUAAAGGGCUCGCAGGCGGUUUCUUAAGUCUGAUGUGAAAGCCCCCGGCUCAACCGGGGAGGGUCAUUGGAAACUGGGAAACUUGAGUGCAGAAGAGGAGAGUGGAAUUCCACGCGUAGCGGUGAAAUGCGUAGAGAUGUGGAGGAACACCAGUGGCGAAGGCGACUCUCUGGUCUGUAACUGACGCUGAGGAGCGAAAGCGUGGGGAGCGAACAGGAUUAGAUACCCGGGUAGUCCCUGUCUCUUAUAC